UACAGAGGUCCCAAGCGUUGUUCGGAUUCACUGGGCGUAAAGGGUGCGUAGGCGGUCGGGUAAGUCUGACGUGAAAUCUCCAAGCUCAACUUGGAAAUGGCGUCGGAUACUAUUCGGCUCGAGGAAUGGAGGGGAGACUGGAAUUCUCGGUGUAGCAGUGAAAUGCGUAGAUAUCGAGAGGAACACCUGCGGCGAAGGCGGGUUGCUGGGCUGACACUGACGCUGAUGCGCGAAAGCCAGGGGAGCGAACGGG
rnacentral:rRNA from 1 species